rnacentral:tRNA from 1 species
CGGGGUGUAGCGCAGGGGUAGCGUACUUGACUGGGGGUCAAGGGGUCGCAAGUUCAAAUCUUGUCACUCCGA